UCUGGGUGUGGUGGUGCAUGCCUGUAAUCCCAGCAACUUGGGAGGCUGAGGCAGGAGGAUCGCAAGUUCACAACCAGCCUCAGCAAAAGCAAGGCUUGCUAAGCAACUCAGUGAGACCCUGUCUCUA
rnacentral:sRNA from 1 species